UUGAGUAUUUCUUAUAUACAUUUCAAGUGUUAUUCCCUUUCCCGGUUUCCGGACAAACAUCACCCUCCCCCCCUCCCCUUCCUUAUGGGUGUUCCCCUCCCAAACCUCCCCCCAUUGCCACCCUCCCCGCAUAGUCUAGUUCACUGGGGGUUCAGUCUUAGCAGGACCCAGGGCUUCCCCUUCCACUGGUGCUCUUACUAGGAUAUUCAUUGCUACCUAUGGGGACAGAGUCCAGGGUCAGUCCAUGUAUAGUCUUUAGGUAGUGGCUUAGUCCCUGGAAGCUCUGGUUGCUUGACAUUGUUGUACUUUUGGGGU
rnacentral:lncRNA from 1 species